AUGUAGGAUAGGUUAAUCAAGUAUUAUUAUUUUCUUAACGCACGUGUAAGCUGUUUCAGGAUACAGCUACUGAAAACGAACAGGGAAUUUUGUCUUCGUAUUCAUUGCUGAUAUUAAUUACUGCAAAGUAAUUGAUUUUAUAAGCUGAAAAUAUUUCGAUAACAUUUUAAAAAGGCCGCUCUAGAAUGUUACUGUCAGCGCCAUCUAGUAAUAAAGCGGUGAACACUGUGAUGAAACAACUAUUAAGUCGGUAAAAUAUCGACUGCCCCGCGUCGGUAAGAUACCGGCUGUGCCACGUCGGUAAUGUACCAACAUAUCGUUGGCGAGUAUUUGAAAUCAAAGUUCUAACAAAAAAUCAUGAAAAUGGCGAUUAAAAUCUACUCAAUUUGAACAGGAAUAAAUGGCGCAUUCAAGUAAAGUCAUAUAUGAACAUUAGAAAAGGAAAGCUGGUAGUUGUGUAUUCCAUCAUUCCUCAAGAAAUGAAAAUUUAAGUAUUUAGUCAUUCUAUUAAAAUAUGCAAAUGAAAAACAGCAUCACUGAAAUAAGAAACAAUAGAUUUUAGGUAAUUUAUUGAAGAUUGAAAAGUACCAUGGAGAAUAGAGGAUGGCAAAUUUUCAAGGGCGCGAUUGCGAUGUACUAUUAUUGGCGAACCUGCUUCUUUUUAUCUGUAUUGUCUCCCACGAUAAAAUCUGGACCAACAACGUAUAUACCUGUCCCGUACAGAAGACCUUUCGCAGUAUUGAUCACUGCGGAAAGGAAAGGCACGUUGGGGGUGGCCGAUGAACACGUGGCAUCGCUCGAACUUCCAACUGAGGAUUUUUAGUCCUUCCAGGGAUGACAAAAAACAUGAUAAGACAGAGUUAAGAAAUUCUGAUGAAUGUUAUUCCAAAUGAAAUUGUUAUUACCAUUCAUUGAAAAUCUUUUUACUGAUACAUUGAAGUAUUGAUCCAGAAUGGUUGAAAUAUAACUUUGUUGAAUUUGGUAAUUCAAAACAACUUUAGAAUCAGAUAGAAUAAAACAUUAGUAUUUGUUUGCAAUUGUUUGCAAAUUACUAUGAUUUUGAAAGAUAAACUCAUUAUUCAGAUAAAUCAUUAUUCAUUCAUAAUAACUUGAUGUAGGUUUAUAUUAAUGUUAAUUAAUAUUUUGUUACUCUUCAGUUGCACUUGAAUUCUUCAGCAAACAGUCUGUCUAUUUUCUCUUCCUUCAAUCUGAAACAGUAUCAGUAAUAUUAUCACAGAUAGAUUUCUGCUUAUAUUCCAUGUAUUGAAAGAAAUGUUGAAAACUCUGAUGAGAUAAAUUUCAGGUAUCCAUCGGUUGAGGAGUGUUCAGGAUCAACGUUGCGCGUAGUCACAGGAGGAAGACGUUAUCGAAGGGGGCGGAGGUUGAAAAAGAGACACGAAGGGAGAGAACGCAAUCAGAGGGGUUGAUAAUACGAGGAAGCCGAUAGGAACCGACCCAAGAGCAGCGUAAUAGUGUUGGUAAGGCAGGAGCAGCGAACGUCUGCUCCUGACAGCCCAUUACCACUGUACAAACGCGAGCUCUCGGAGGAUGGCGAAGUUUCUCCUCCCUUCCACCCUCUCGUUCCAUCCCUUUCUGCGUCUGUUCUCCACCUCCGUCCUCGCAACCCUCCUCGUCCACUUCUACAACUUGCUCUUCUUGCGCGAAGAUGGUGGGAAACCACCUUGAACUACAUCACCAUCACCCAACGAUUACGUUCUACAUGGAAACUGGCUGUCUUCGUUGUUCUGUUAGCAUCCUGAUUGUAAUGAAACUUCAAAGCUUUUGAAAUUACUCGAUUAAACAGAGGGGGUUGUUUUGUGGAAGUUGGAGACCUUUUAAAGAAGCUUUGAGGUUUCAAGAUUUCUGUCUUCUUUUUCAAGUGAGCUAGAUCUUUGUAGAAUCUCUAUGAUAAUUUAACUUCUGGAAAUCUUUGGAAAUAAAGUAAUUUUAGAAAUGAAGAGUAGUUUUUGAGGACUUUUGUUAUUAUUAUAAAAGGAGAUAGUGUUCAUAGAUAUUCUACAAAUGUAUAAAAUAAUCGUUUAUAAGAAAUGGAAUCCGUGCGGAAUCAAUUUGACGUGUAUCCUCGGCGAAAGAGGAGAGGGUUGUCUAGCGGUUUUUCCAGGGUGGCGUCAAGACCACGCCUGCCACCUCGUAUAAGCCACGCCCGUGGAACGCAACCAACCCCCUCGGUAGGGUGUCUCGAGGGCCGAAGGGCUAAUAAUUCACGUCACGAGCACACCCCACCAUAAAGAGUCAGCUACAGCCGUGGCUCCUCGUAUAUUCCAUAUCAGCGUUGGUAUAUGAACGUUAUCCAGCUACGGUUACUGUUAAUUACCGAUCAUCUUCCGUAAUUAAUUGCCUUCGCAUUGGAGAAGCGGCUCCUCGAUCGACGCGGCCGGCUCUCCAGCCUGCUGGCUAUCGAUCCGCUGAGUUUGCUGCACGUUGCCGGGAACGUGCGAAUGAUUUUAGCGAGAAUCCUGUGUACAGAUAACCAGGCUUAAAGAAUAGUUAUUGGUACCUUGAUACACUAUAAGGGCCUUUAUAAUUUAUUUUAAGGGUUAUUAGGAUUCCAGGGUAUUCUGUGUUAAAGUAAAUUACCUGUUUUAUUUUAAAAGAAUUUUUGUAUUCUAUAUUUAGGGAAAUUAAUUGUUAAGGGAAAUUAUUAAUAGUACUCUGUAACAAGUAUAAUUAUUUAUUAAGAGCAGAAUAUGUUAAAGACAAUUAGCUAAUAUAAAUAUUCUAUGUUAAAGGAAACUAGUUGUACAGAGUAGUCUGUGUUAAGGGAAAUUAAUUGUUAAAAGUAUCCUAUGUUAAGAGCAAUUAGUUUUUAAAUGUAUUCUAUGCUAAGAGUAAUUAGUUUCCAAGAGUACUAUAUGUUGAAAGACAGUAA